UCGGCGAACCUGCAGAUAUCCCUGAACAUAUUCUGGUAUGACCUCAGCUUGGUUUGCAGCGUCCGCAACGCCGGUGACUUCUUAGCACUCGAUGAUGUAGUCGGCGGCAUUGUAACACAAUUUCACUUUGACAGAACGGGAAGAUAAUACGGAGGUGUAAUAUUCUGCUUGUUUCCUAACUUCGGAUGGGCAUAUACUGUAGAGCUGUUUUUAUUAUUUACCUGAAGAAACAGGAAUUUCCGCUUUCUCUACAGUUAUGUCCCUCAGAAAUAUUCGAACGAUGCGGCUCCAAAUGAUUGUGGAAGUACGAGUAAUUUAAAUACUUCAUACGGAUCCAGAUUUCGCGGGAGAGGUGAAAAGGGUUAUGUAGUAAAAUUGUUGGUCCAACUACGGCUGAACAUAUACUGUUCUAACUGACCUGACAAAACAGUAACGCUGCUAAAUUUCAUGAAAAAAACGAUGUGCCGGAUUUUCUCGUGAUCACACCGAUGCUCCGAAAGUAGGACGCAGUGAAACAAUAAUGCACUUAUGCGCGCCCCUUGUUCAUAUGCUUGUAAAUGUUGUUUAUGUAUGUAUACAUCGAUCACGAUCAAAACAGUGUUUAGAGAGGAGUGAAAUAUGCUAUGUAGUAUGGCAAUAGAUUCCAGCUUCGGCCGGACAUAUACAAGUGGUGCAAUUCAAUUAACUGACCUGGAAGGAUAACGGUCGCUCCUGCACCAAGUGAACCAGCGUAGGAUGUAGUUGCAGUCGGGAAUUUUAACGUGAUGGUGUUAUUUCUGGACAAACCAGGGCAAUUCGCCCAUUCCGGAAUGGUUUCCUUUUGCGACGGGUGCCGACGAUGUGAAAUGCAGUUGGCUCGAUUCUGCGAUGAUCUUGUUGGUGACUUCCCGGUCACAGAAUAAGCGGAAUGAAGUGUGAAAUAUCCUGAUUAUGUGCAAUGUAGCAAUAAAUGUCACAAGUGAAGGUAA